UAAGGAAUGUGUAUUUAUGACGACAAUUUGUGAGACUGGUAAACUUAUGAUAGGUACGAUGGUCUUUCGUUCUACACGGUGCAUUUCAAGGUCCUGUACCCAUCCGUCGGUAAACUGUACCUGGUUACUAAACUUCAUGAGUGUAUGCACUCACUCCAAGAACCGUAUGAUUAUAAAUAUGCAUAUAAAUAUGCUAAGAUGAGAUAGCUGACUUCAUCUAACUAGCAAAUGUUGUCCAGGCUACGUUGGUGAUACAGUUUUUUUUUAAUGUGUAUGAUAUUUUUGUCAUGCGAUUUUAAAGCUGGUCCUACAACCGCAUCCAAGAAUAACAUGCAGCUUAUCUCAGAACUGUCGGUGAAAAUUAUUCUUGGAACUAGGUUUAAUUGAGCUGCAUUUUAAAGAGGUGCAAUUUCACAAUUUGUGUAUAUUUUCUAAGUUCACUAUUUUGUCAUGUGUUGAGAAAAACAGAUUUUAAAAUUACAUGGUCUAAUAUUUACAUUUAGCAUAUAACUGCAACAUUAUUUUUUCGUUUUUUUUUUUUUUUUUUUAAAGACUCGAAAGGACUUGAAAUUCAAAGUUUCAGACUUGUGACUUGACUCGGACUUUUACACCAGUGACUUGAGACUCGACUCUGACUUGCCUGACAUUACUUGAGACUUGACUUGAGACUUGAGGAUAAAGACUUGAGACUUACUUGAGACUUGCAAAACAAUGACUUGGUCCCACCUCUGCUAUUUCCCACCGAGGCUUCUAGACUUCUGAUUGGCCAACAUUUCUACACGGUUAGGAAUAUAUUGCCACCUGUUGCUUUGGCAUGUUCCUAGCAGCGUUUUCCUUCAUUUCUGCGUUCACGUGUGGACGGGAUUAUUUUUUUAAAACGAAAAUGGAAAAUCUCAGUUUUCAAAAAUACCCGUGUACGACAAAUACGGCAAUAAUGACGACCCGCUUGCAUGUUCUACAAAAAAAGUGCUUUGUUGUGUAUCUGACAGACAAACACCAAACCAGUUCCACAUCACUGAAGAGGCACCAUUUUUACAAACUAAUUCUGGUUCAUCCGUUCCACUCAAUGAUUGCUUUUUCCCUUCUCAUUCUCUGUUGCCGCCAUGGUUUAUCGGCAUUGUGCAUAUGAAAACAAAGGCACUGCGCAUGCGCAUUUCAACCACAUUAUAUCGCGAUAUUUCAUUUUCUUAUCGUUGCCUAACAUUGUACCGGUAUUACCGUGAAUGGUAUAAUAUGGCCCAGCCCUACUCCAGGAUCACAGGGCCAUCACAGGUGAGCCCUUGCACCCUGCCCACGACCUUUUUGACCUACUGCACUCUCUUCGGUGCCUAACAUCAGUUAGGUCCCACACCUCCAGGCUAACAAACAGCUUCUUCCCCUUCCCGAUUCAGGCUGUC
ensembl:lncRNA